rnacentral:lncRNA from 1 species
UUUCACUCACUCACAAACACCCUCUUAUGUCUUGUUAACGCCAACUCGUCGGAGUUCGAGGAGGUCACCGGAGAAGAAAGCCUUUGCUGGAGUAACCGAGCAUCGACGGAAACGACCUUUCGCACACCCUCCUCACUGUUACGAGACGUCGUCGCAAGUCGGGAAGCAGCAGGGAUCCUACCGGAGACACCGAGCUCGCCGGGAAACAUCGAAGUUCAAGUCCUUUGUUGUUGUUCGUGUUAUGUUGUAAUUAAGGUGUUUGCUUGCUAGGAAAGCGAGGCUAGAAUAAGUUUCUAGAAGCCCCCAACAAAUAGUUGUCCGCCAAGAACAAGCGUCUGGGGCAUAGUUGUCUGUAGAUCUUGUCCUCUGGUAAUACAGCCAGAAAGUCAACAGAAUAGGGGUCUAGAAGCAGAUAAACAAUUGAUGUAUU